CUUAAGUAGGAUUCAUCUUCUUCAAGAAAAUCCUAAGGAAGGUGAAAAAGGGUUUUGGUGAUAAAGGGAGGAUUCAACUCUAAGCUUGUUCCACCAUCAUCUAAGGUAUACAUGAGUGCAUCAUAGGGGAAGCAAGCAAGCGAUAAGAAUAGUAAACGUCAAAGGUAGACAGGAAGGUGAGCUUGGUCCAGACCCUUAGUAGCUGUCAACUGAUUGAGAGCACUCCAUUGUCCGGAGGUGCUUAUGGUUCUUCUUUUGGUAUAUAUGCAUAUUUUGGGCAUGACGGAGUCUUGUUCCGUCUAUAUGUUUAGUAUGUCAGUAGAGGCUCGUAGAUACGCAGUGUGGGUCAGAUGGUCUCACAAGAUGUUAUUAUUAUGUAUAUAUUAUUUUGAUGGCCGAGAGGCAAAUGUAUAUAAGUAUUUAUGUUUCUAUAUAAAAUAUGAUUUUCCUACAAUUCGUGUAUAAAAUUGGUAAAAGGGCAUUAAAUGAGUAAGAUGAGUAUUAGAACGAGUGGUGCUCGGUGGCUAGCCCCGGGUACCCGUCAC